rnacentral:rRNA from 1 species
CGGGAGAAUUGCUAGCUUGCUAAUAAUUCUCUAGUGGCGCACGGGUGAGUAACACGUGAGUAACCUGCCCCCAAGAGUGGGAUAGCCCCGGGAAACUGGGAUUAAUACCGCAUAAAAUCGCAAGAUUAAAGCAGCAAUGCGCUUGGGGAUGGGCUCGCGUCCUAUUAGUUAGUUGGUGAGGUAACGGCUCACCAAGGCGAUGACGGGUAGCCGGUCUGAGAGGAUGUCCGGCCACACUGGAACUGAGACACGGUCCAGACACCUACGGGUGGCAGCAGUCGAGAAUCAUUCACAAUGGGGGAAACCCUGAUGGUGCGACGCCGCGUGGGGGAAUGAAGGUCUUCGGAUUGUAAACCCCUGUCAUGUGGGAGCAAAUUAAAAAGAUAGUACCACAAGAGGAAGAGACGGCUAACUCUGUGCCAGCAGCCGCGGUAAUACAGAGGUCUCAAGCGUUGUUCGGAAUCACUGGGCGUAAAGCGUGCGUAGGCGGUUUCGUAAGUCGUGUGUGAAAGGCGGGGGCUCAACCCCCGGACUGCACAUGAUACUGCGAGACUAGAGUAAUGGAGGGGGAACCGGAAUUCUCGGUGUAGCAGUGAAAUGCGUAGAUAUCGAGAGGAACACUCGUGGCGAAGGCGGGUUCCUGGACAUUAACUGACGCUGAGGCACGAAGGCCAGGGGAGCGAAAGGGAUUAGAUACCCCUGUAGUCCUGGCAGUAAACGGUGCACGCUUGGUGUGCGGGGAAUCGACCCCCUGCGUGCCGG